GGGUGGGGGUGGUUUAAUGUGUUUAAUUUAGUUAAUGAGAAAAUACAGUCAUGUUCCUGAUAAUAUGUUCAACAAUCUAUGUAUCGAAGUCUUCUUUCUGCAGUGAAACUUGAACUUUGAACUUUUUUAUACUUCUGUUAGUAUUCCUUUUGGUUCACUGUAGUCCCAUGUUAUGAGAUAUAUUUCUUUUUUGACUUUUUGACCAGCAUAAUGGCUUGGACCAGAGAGGUGAUAAUUCCUUGUGGUUUCUUGUGAUUAUCUUUUCUCAUUAAUCUGCACAUAAUGGCUGGAAUAUACAAGUAUUGUUGUGCCAUGAACUUUUUUUUUUUUUUAGUGGCAUGUUUUCUUAUCAACAUUUUUU
rnacentral:misc_RNA from 1 species